rnacentral:lncRNA from 1 species
CCCCAGCCACCCCAGCCGGGCUGAUGCCGGGUGACCCCACACCCCUGACGGACUGACUGUACGUUGGGAAGGUUAGCAGAGGGGAGGGAGGCCUCCACUGUCACACUGAGCGCGGUCCCGGCUCCUCAUCCCUAUCCACCCCCUCCCCCGCCCCCAGCCCCCCGGCAGCCCCUCGCUCUCCCCUUCACUUCCAUCUCCAAGAAAGUGGACCUGACCCCUACAGCAUCAUUUUGGCCAAAAGUCGUUCUCUCCCCUUUCUGAAGGCUUAUUUGUGGUCCUUUUUAGGAUUUCAAAGCCCCAAACAGAUCCACCCACUGAGGCGGCUGAGAAAAGGAGUUCGGCAGGUGCAGCGCUGUCAGGAGAUGAGACAAGCUAGACACACACCUGCUCUGAGACAGAUGGGGGCUGCUGAAGGUGAACUCACCCCGGGCCCCAUUCCUGACCUCCACCAGGUGGGCUUGAGCAGAGACCGCCUCAGGGCCAGCAGUCCUUCACCUCUUUCCACAAGAGCUUGCCAGGAAGAGAACCCUCUGAAGUCCAUUCUGAGCUCUCAGCCUGGGAUUUACCCGCCAUUUGUCACGGACAUCAGGCAAUUACUGGCACACGGAGCGGGAGGAGAACAGAGAGGGAAAGCUUUGCCUGGCCAGCGGGUCAUCACCUCCGCAUCAGUCACUGUUAGAGACGUCUCUGGUUUGCAUUCCCAGCUCAACUGCACAGAAAAGACAUCUUUUAGAUUCUCCAUAGUCACCCCUAUGCUGAGAAAACUGGGAAAAAAGGGCAAUAGUAGUUGCCAUAAAAACCUGGGGGCUCCAGGAGCUGUCCGCAAGAACUCUAUAAAGAGUUCUAAUAAUAAUAAUUUCUAUAGUGAUGCUAAUAGUUACUAA